rnacentral:misc_RNA from 1 species
GGACCGACCGCUAAAUCGCCCGCCCAGACCACUGCGCCAGGUAGGAUGGC